GGACUUGAGCCACUCCACGUCCUGCACGCACAAAUUCAGCAAAACAACACACCCCAUCAGGCCAUCAUCAACCACUCGCCUGAUUCCAAGAGAGGUGAAACCGGAUUUUUCAUUCUAUUAUCUAAAAAAAUGCUGGCAACGAACGGCAGGUACAGUGACCCAAGGCCGCUGUAUCCAAGGAUUUUUUUUGAGAAACUACUGUAGCCAAUACUGCGACGCAUGCAAUUCAAGGCCAGUAACGUGUCCUUGGGACAGGAUCGCAGGAGAGACGAUGCCGGUAGGCCACCGUCGCUAUACCAGCAUGCUGUUAUAUUAAGUGCCAUACGGCCGUUCAAAGAACAGUCUUUCAGUAUCCAGCAUACAGCCCUGAUGCCCGAUGUUGAUGCGUCCUUGCAUAUGCUUGCCCAGUACUGUGGAUGCUGGACCACGUGCUAUGGAAUUCAACAUUCAAGAAAAUUUAUGGGACGGCUACCAGCUGCUCUGUGUUAUCUACCUUCCAUGACAAUGAUGGAUCCA
rnacentral:misc_RNA from 1 species